AUAAAUAAAUAAAUAAAAUUCUAAAUUCUAAAACAUAAUUUUGGAUCAAAUGCUCUGGAUCAUUGAUUCCCAUGCAGCCUUCACUGAUGGCUGAUUGUUUCUGCCAGGUGAGGAAAAAUAAUAUUCAACAUACAUUAAAGGGGUCAUAGGAUGCACAUUUUCCACAAGUGGAUAUGAUUCUCAAGGGUCUUAACGAAAAGUCUGUAACUAGUAUGGUUAAAAUUUCUCAAUGAUAUAAAAAAUACCUUUUUUUACCCUGUAAAAACAACUCUUUCAAGAGCAAGCCAUUUUGUAGUAUUUUCCUUUAAAUGUUAAUGAGCUCUAUGACCCCACCCCUUUCUUCCAGCCGCUCUCAGAGACUUUAGCCGCAUUCAAACGCGAAACUUGCUAAUUAGCACAUUAUUAGGAAAGGUGAUUUGCAAAGACUCACUAAAAAACCCUCACACUCUCUUUUUCUGUAGGUGAGGCUGGACCACGAACAUAGAUGCAUUUAAGUAGAUGGGGGCGGCUCAGAUGUCGGGAGUAAAUGAUGACUGCUAUGUUCAUUAUUACUUCCAAAAAGAGAACAUCAUAGUCAUUCUCAUCUACUUCUGCUCCAGCGUCGAAAACAAAAGCGAACUGAUGACAGCUCACGCAGGGCGGGUCUAAGGUAAGGCCAGUCCAGUCUGCCAAGCGCGUAUGUCUGCUGACUGUUUUAUUUUAUCUGUCCAUUUGUAAUAUUAAUAAUUUAAGGAACAUUUGCGUUGGAUAGAAAGCGAGUUCCAUCGGCAACUAACACGAUAUGUAAUUGCAGUAUUGAGCAGUUAAAUCACAGAGGUGACUUGACUAUGUUCUGGAUGUUACAGGGACAGAUGAGACACACGUGUGUUUAUCCAGUGCUGAGUGACUGACGAAAGAAAGCUGCUAUCAAAGGAUUUGUGAAAAUCUGUAGAAGCGGAAAGACAACCCUCAUUCACAACAAACCCAAUUCAGGAGUCAUCACCUCAAAAGAAACCCAGAUAAGACUAAGUUCUCCCUCCUCGAAUUUGCAGAUAGGCUACAGCUAGAAGCCAACUGUAUAGAAUUCGACCCAGAUGAUGAGACAAGAACCAUAAAACGAUAUCAAAGGGCAGUGAUUCGGGGACAAAUCAAACGAACGACCAUACUGCAUUACAUUGUGUAGAACAAAGACAGGCCACAGAACCACUAACUAAACCCAAAGCAGUUCAUCCCAAAAUACCUACAAAGCCCAAAGCUGUCUGUCCAUACUGUCGUGCAGAACAUUACCAAGUCAGUACCCUGCAGGAAAGGUACAGACACCUGAGAGGGAUACCACCUCUGGUUAAAGCUUUUCCGCUUCUUCUUAUUGGUUCGGAUCACACUGAGCUCAUCACCCCAAUUGAACCAGUGCGACUGGGUCUACCUGGGGGUCGAGCUGCUGUCAGAUUUCGCCUUGGCUGGACCUUGCAGGGCCCUUCCAAACAUCUGCAGGAUUAACUCUCAGUAUCCCAUUGUCUUUUCACAUCCAGCUGCUCCCCAUCUGCAGAACUCUAUUAUCAAGUUGAAGGGUAAUGGCAGAUGGACAUCCUGCCUUAUCGCUGUGAAAAGAUGGUAAUAAGGUCACAACAGGACAGAGAAGCACAGAACAUGCUGAAGGCACAGACUGUGCAAGUAAAAGUACAUGGAGUUGAAUGAUACGCCACUCCGUUUUUGAGUUAAAGCUAUGUUACAUGCUCCAAGGGAUGCUGUGAUGUGCCACCUCGGUAGCAUUGGAUGUCGGUUAGCAAAGGACCUACCAUUAGCUAACAAGUACAAAUAAGAGAUCCAGAAAUUGGAGAGAGCUGGUUAUGCCACUAUGAUAUCACCUGAAGAAGCAGCCCAGUUUACAGAAUCAUGGUAUCUACCCCACCAUGUUGUCACCCACAAUGGUAAACAUAGAGUGGUGUUUAACUGCUCGUAUACCUACAAUGGUCAAAAUCUAAACAAGCAGCUGUUACCUGGACCUACGCUGGGCCCCUCUUGGGGUGUUGAUCUGCUUCAGAGAACAUUGAGUAGCCAUCAGUGGAGACAUAAAGGGAAUGUUCCAUCAGGUCUGCCUGCUCCCCAGAGACAAACCCCACCUAAGGUUCUUGUGGCGAGACCUAAAGCCUGAAAACCCACCUGAUGUGUACGACUGGCAGGUUCUUCCAUUCGGCACAACCUGUAGCCCCUGUUGUGCCACAUUCAAAGUACAGCAACACGUUUUUACUCAUUGCCUGCCGGGUGAUAAGUCACAACCGUCAGUUGAAUGUUGCUUUUAUGUCAACAACUGUUUACAGAGCACUGCAUCCUCAACUGAAGCCAAGGGGCUGAUCAAUGGGUUAAGGUCUCUACUGGCUUCAGGCGGGUUUGAAAUCCGUCAGUGGGUGAGCAACGAGGCCUCAGUGGUUAGUCAUUUCCCCAAAGAGGCUAGAUCAGAGAACAUUGAAUUGUGGAUUUCCCUCAGCCAAUCAGAUCCUCAAGAGAUGACCCUGGGAUUAAACUGGCGCUGCGUGUUAGACACCCUCCAUUACCGCCAUCGUCCUCUAUCCUACCAUGAGGUAACAAUGAGAAACAUCUACAGUGUUCUUGCCAGUCAGUUUGACCCCUUGGGUUACAUAAUACCUUUAAAACCAGGGCUAAAUCCUUAGUGCGACAACUGUGGGUGAAGGAAAGAGAAUAUGAUGACCCCCUUCUUCCUUCAGAACUGCUACAGGCCUGGCAAAAAUGGGAAGCAGAACUGGAACAUCUACCACUGAUCACCAUACCUCGGUGUUGUGUGUCAGCCAGGCUAGAUGUCCCAGAGGUGGAAACAGUGGGGGAAAUAGGUGACCCAGGAGCACCGGAGUACCAGCAGUCUGAAUCAAGUCUUUUGAGGCAAGACCAAUUAGACAGCUUCCCCACAGAAUAUCAGGCUCUAACAACUGGCAAGCCGAUCCCUUUGUCCAGUUGUCUGCUCACAUUGUCACCAGAGUUGGAUAAAAUGACUGCACUCUUCUGUGUAGGAGGACGACUGCACCGAGCUACCAACCUGGGUUACAGUACUCUGCAACCCAUAGUCAUGGACCCAAAACACCCUAUCCUGGUUCAGAAAGGGUCUGUGCAGAAAUGCAAAUAUAUUACUGGAUAGAAGCAAUAUGGCUCCAUUAACAUUCCUGUGUCUAAUGUCAAAAGUGGAAAGCUAAAUCUAAAGUUCAAAAAAUGGCAGAUGAAAUUCCUGAUGAAACCAGCUUUCUAUUCCACAGGGGUAGAUUGCUUUGGCCCAUUCCUGGUAAAGCGAGGAACGAGUAAUGAAAAGUGGUGGGUAAUAAUUUUUUAAGUGCAUGACGGCUCGCUGUGUCCACUUGGAUUUACUGAGUAACAUGGAUACAGACUCCUUUCUGAUGGCCCUUAUGAUGGUGUAUGGCUGCUCGACGUGGAACGCCUUCCGAAAUCCUGGCAGAUCAGCAGAUCACCAACUUUCGAAGAGGUGAUAAGGAGCUACAGACAGCUUUCGCUUCCAUAAGCCCACACCUCCAAAACCAGUUAGCAAAACAGAAGAUGUGGAAGCAUGAAAUCUGCUCAGUUAAAACUGUCAUGCAUAUAAUCAUCGUGUCCCAAACUCUCCCAGUGGAAGUCAUCAAAAGACUCCUUAUAGAUGUUGAGGCUAUACUAAAUGCAAUCCAUUAGGUAAUGUUUCUUCUGAUUUAGCGGAUCCAGAUCCGGUGACCCCAAAUUACCUGUUGAUGGGGCGGCCGGAUGCAUCACUAACACAAGUGGUUUACCCGGAAACCGAAAUUCUUAGUUAGAAAAGAUGGCGGCAAUCACGAGUACUGGCAGAUCAGGUUUGGACAUGUUUUAUAAUGAAUUACUUGCCCACCCUGCAGCCACAGCAAAAAUGGUUGAUGUGCAUUAAAGCCCAAAACCACACACUUAUAUACUGUAUAUCCAGAUGACCAUGCACAAGUUUGUAUAGACCAAUGGCUGUCUGUACCAAUGUAACCAGUAAACUUGAUGGACAUUAAAGUAAACUAACUGGAGUUCCAGUCUCUGUGUAUAACUAAGAAUCGGCACACCUUCUCUUCAAGAUCUUUUGUGGGGGAGCAGGACAUGCAAGGAAAGGAUCUGAAAUGAUGUUGCUGUGGUAUCUUUAUUCUCAAGUGACCCCAGAGCCAGCGAGAGGAUCUGGAGAAAGACCGAAAGGCACUGAGAGUGUGAUUUUGGAACCUACAAUCUCUCGGAUCAACCUGGAGAAAAUAGCCUUUCUCAAGGACAUACUGGUGGUUUUGAACCAGCAACCUUCUGCUCACCAGUUCAGUUGUUUAGCCAACUACAAAAGUAGUCGUGCUCAUGGAGAACAGACACAGAUGAUCUGAGCAGAAACGGCAGCAGACAGAUUAUCCUGCUCUUGCUUCAAGGUUGUGUGGUUCAGAGAGCCAUCAUCAUGGUCUUCCUCAUCCUGUUGCUCAACGAUGUCCCCGUUGAGAAGAGAGAGGUUAUGAAGCACAGCGCAGCAGCAGAACCGACACAGCUGUGUUGAGAUGACAGUAGAUGUUGGGAUCACCAUCUGUAAAUACAUGAUUGUUAGAACAAUAAGGUUUGUUUCAUGUGUUGUUGACUUGUGUAUGUAUUUAUUGUGAUGCUAACUUUCAUAUAUUCUUUUAAUCAUUUAUUCAUGUGUCUUGUUGUCAGUAGAUGAAAUAUAAAUAUUUUAUUCAUUCAUGCAUUAAUUGCUUGAAUGAAAAUUGCUGUAUUCACAUCGAUUGCAUUUGUUCAACUAGUGUAUAUUCAUGUAUAGCUAUAUAGCUGUCAAGACAAAAAUGUAAUUAUGCUUAUUUUACAAAAAUGUAAUUUUAAGGGGAAAAAAGGUAAUAUAAUUAUUGGUUUAUCGUUAUUAUUGCAUGUAAGUGUUGGGGUGGGAAACUGUACUAGACUGUUGAGUUAGUGAUGGUGUGAGGUGUUAGUUAGUUCACCUGUCCCUCUUUUUAAAAUAUUAUUGCCAAACUUAUUAUUACACAAAAGAUCUGGGUAAGAUGGUUGUAUCUAAUAAUGAACAAUUAUAAUGGCAUGAAACUGUAAAUAAAGAUUUAAUGUGUU